GAGUUUGAUCAUGGCUCAGAUUGAACGCUGGCGGCAGGCCUAACACAUGCAAGUCGAACGGUAACAGGAAUCAGCUUGCUGAUUCGCUGACGAGUGGCGGACGGGUGAGUAAUGUCUGGGAAACUGCCUGAUGGAGGGGGAUAACUACUGGAAACGGUAGCUAAUACCGCAUAAUGUCGCAAGACCAAAGAGGGGGACCUUCGGGCCUCUUGCCAUCGGAUGUGCCCAGAUGGGAUUAGCUUGUUGGUGAGGUAACGGCUCACCAAGGCGACGAUCCCUAGCUGGUCUGAGAGGAUGACCAGCCACACUGGAACUGAGACACGGUCCAGACUCCUACGGGAGGCAGCAGUGGGGAAUAUUGCACAAUGGGCGCAAGCCUGAUGCAGCCAUGCCGCGUGUAUGAAGAAGGCCUUCGGGUUGUAAAGUACUUUCAGCGGGGAGGAAGGGAGUAAAGUUAAUACCUUUGCUCAUUGACGUUACCCGCAGAAGAAGCACCGGCUAACUCCGUGCCAGCAGCCGCGGUAAUACGGAGGGUGCAAGCGUUAAUCGGAAUUACUGGGCGUAAAGCGCACGCAGGCGGUUUGUUAAGUCAGAUGUGAAAUCCCCGGGCUCAACCUGGGAACUGCAUCUGAUACUGGCAAGCUUGAGUCUCGUAGAGGGGGGUAGAAUUCCAGGUGUAGCGGUGAAAUGCGUAGAGAUCUGGAGGAAUACCGGUGGCGAAGGCGGCCCCCUGGACGAAGACUGACGCUCAGGUGCGAAAGCGUGGGGAGCAAACAGGAUUAGAUACCCUGGUAGUCCACGCCGUAAACGAUGUCGACUUGGAGGUUGUGCCCUUGAGGCGUGGCUUCCGGAGCUAACGCGUUAAGUCGACCGCCUGGGGAGUACGGCCGCAAGGUUAAAACUCAAAUGAAUUGACGGGGGCCCGCACAAGCGGUGGAGCAUGUGGUUUAAUUCGAUGCAACGCGAAGAACCUUACCUGGUCUUGACAUCCACGGAAGUUUUCAGAGAUGAGAAUGUGCCUUCGGGAACCGUGAGACAGGUGCUGCAUGGCUGUCGUCAGCUCGUGUUGUGAAAUGUUGGGUUAAGUCCCGCAACGAGCGCAACCCUUAUCCUUUGUUGCCAGCGGUCCGGCCGGGAACUCAAAGGAGACUGCCAGUGAUAAACUGGAGGAAGGUGGGGACGACGUCAAGUCAUCAUGGCCCUUACGACCAGGGCUACACACGUGCUACAAUGGCGCAUACAAAGAGAAGCGACCUCGCGAGAGCAAGCGGACCUCAUAAAGUGCGUCGUAGUCCGGAUUGGAGUCUGCAACUCGACUCCAUGAAGUCGGAAUCGCUAGUAAUCGUGGAUCAGAAUGCCACGGUGAAUACGUUCCCGGGCCUUGUACACACCGCCCGUCACACCAUGGGAGUGGGUUGCAAAAGAAGUAGGUAGCUUAACCUUCGGGAGGGCGCUUACCACUUUGUGAUUCAUGACUGGGGUGAAGUCGUAACAAGGUAACCGUAGGGGAACCUGCGGUUGGAUCACC
rnacentral:rRNA from 1 species